AAUGAACGUUGGCGGCGUGGAUUAGGCAUGCAAGUCGCGCGCGAAACGUAGCAAUACGUGGAGAGCGGCGUAAGGGAGAGUAAUGCAUGGUUAGCUACCCCCGGGACUGGGAUAGCGGCGGGAAACUGCCGGUAAUACCAGAUGACAUCUUCGGAUCAAAGGUGUGAAUCCGCCCGGGGAGCGACCAUGUCCUAUCAGCUUGUUGGCGGGUAACGCCACAAGGCAAAGCGGGUAUGGGGCGUGAGAGCGUGCCCCCACUCACUGGGACUGAGACACUGCCCAGACACC
rnacentral:rRNA from 1 species